ACCCCAAUAGCUAGCCCACCUAAAAACUACAACAAACAACAUCAAUAACCCCACAAUUAAUACACCCCCAUAACAAACCAUUUUUCCCCCUAAGUAUGGGAGACAGAAAAGGAAAUUCGGAGCAACAGAAAAAGUACCGCAAGGGAAAGCUGAAAGAGAACUGAAAUAAUUCAGUAAAGGACAAAGCAGCAGAGAUUUCCCCUCGUACCUUUUGCAUCAUGAUUUAGCGAGCAUCUCCCAAGCAAAGAGCCCUUUAUGUUUGCGACCCCGAAACUAAGCGAGCUACUCCAAGACAGCCUAUUAUAGGGCCAACCCGUCUCUGUGGCAAAAGAGUGGGAAGAGCUUUGAGUAGAGGUGACAGACCUACCGAGCCUAGUAAUAGCUGGUUGCCUGAAAAUUGAAUAGAAGUUCAGCCUUUUAAAUUUUUUAAUCCCCGAAGGCAAGCCCUGCGCCCGACCAAAAGUAAUUAAAAGAGUAAAUCAAAGGAGGAACAGCUCCUUUGAAUAAAGACACAACUUUAAAAGAAGGUAAAAGAUCAUAUUAGCCAAGGUUACAUACCCAGGUGGGCCUAAAAGCAGCCACCCCUGACGAAAGCGUUAAAGCUCAAGUAUAUAAACCCUAAAAUUACGAUAACAAUAUCCUAAGCCCCUUAAAACAUCAGGCCCACCCAUGCAGCCAUGGGUGAGACAAUGCUAAAAUGAGUAAUAAGAGAGGAAAGCCUCUCUCAAACGCGCAUGUGUAAAUCAGAACGAACCCUCACUGAAAAUUAACGCCCUCAGCCCAAGAGUGAAGUGAAUAAAGCUAAAUAAAACAAGAAAGCCCCUCAAAAUAAUAAAGCGUUAACCCCACACUGGAGCGCCCCCUGAAAGACAAAAAGGAAAAGAAGGAACUCGGCAAACACUGGCCUCGCCUGUUUACCAAAAACAUCGCCUCUUGCUUUAUAGUAUAAGAGGUCCCGCCUGCCCUGUGACUAAAAAGUUUAACGGCCGCGGUAUUUUGACCGUGCGAAGGUAGCGUAAUCACUUGUCUUUUAAAUAGAGACCUGUAUGAAUGGCAUAACGAGGGCCAAGCUGUCUCCUUUCCCUAGUCAAUGAAAUUGAUCUGUCCGUGCAGAAGCGGACAUACAAACAUAAGACGAGAAGACCCUAUGGAGCUUAAGACAACAAGAUAUGCCACGUCAAAUGCCCGAACCCCCCCCCCCCCGGAUUGAACAAACUGGUCCAUAUUUUAAUGUCUUCGGUUGGGGCGACCGCGGAGAAACAAAAAACCCCCGCGUGGAAUGGGGCCCACCCCAAAGCUAGAGCCACAGCUCUAACUAACAGAAUAUCUGACCAGCAAGAUCCGGUAUUACCGAUUAACGGACCCAGUUACCCUAGGGAUAACAGCGCAAUCCCCUUAUAGAGUCCAUAUCGACAAGGGGGUUUACGACCUCGAUGUUGGAUCAGGACUUCCUAAUGGUGCAGCCGCUAUUAAGGGUUCGUUUGUUCAACGAUUAAAGUCCUACGUGAUCUGAGUUCAGACCGGAGAAAUCCAGGUCAGUUUCUAUCUAUGGAUAGCUCUUUCCUAGUACGAAAGGAUCGGAAAGAGGGGGCCCAUGCUGUAAGCAUGCCCCCUCCCCACCUAAUGCCUUCAAAUAAAAGAGGCAAGGGGGCUUAAAAGCCUGCCUGAGAAAAAGGCAA
rnacentral:rRNA from 1 species